GCGGCUUGGUUAUCUCCACCGCUCUGGAGCAGCUAAUGGUCCAUGAGGCGCACGCAAAGGUCUCCAGCAGUAAACUAAACAAGCAGAAGCAAGUUCCACUCUGGACCCGCAGGUGCGCGGCUUGAUUCUGCCGGGAAGGAACCCAGAGUAGGAGCAAACACUCCGCUUUCGAAGAGCAGCUCUGAAGUAGCCUGCGUCGGUUUUCCAGCAGCCUUGGCUGUUAGUCGGGGACUGGUAGAACAGGGUUUCGCUGCUCCAGUCUCUCCUGACUCAGGCCUUGCACUUUCGUUGUUUCAUGAACACUGAGAAGUGCGUUACAUGGUUUGAAAUUAAAAUCAAACAAACGAUCUCUUUUCUUUUAAAA
ensembl:antisense AI646519 expressed sequence AI646519